rnacentral:rRNA from 1 species
UACGUAGGGGGCUAGCGUUGUCCGGAUUUAUUGGGCGUAAAGAGCGUGUAGGCGGCCAGGUAGGUCUGGUGUGAAAACUCGAGGCUUAACCUCGAGAUGUCAUCGGAAACCAUCUGGCUAGAGUCCGGAAGAGGAGAGUGGAAUUUCUGGUGUAGCGGUGAAAUGCGCAGAUAUCAGGAAGAACACCAAUGGCGAAAGCAGCUCUCUGGGACGGUACUGACGCUGAGACGCGAAAGCGUGGGGAGCGAACAGG